rnacentral:lncRNA from 1 species
GAUAUGAAAUGUUUUGGUAUAUUGAGAUAUUGUAGUUUUGUUUUUUAUUGAGAUAAUGAUGGUUUAGUGUUGUCGUUUUUAUUGAUUUGUUGAAGGUUUAUUGUUGUUGUUAUUAUUGAGUUAUUGAAGUUUUAGUGAAGUUUUUUUAAUGUGUUGUUGUUUUUCUUUUGUUGUUAUUUUCAACAUAGGUUGACUAUGCAUUGAG